GUGAAUCAUCGAAUCUUUGAACGCAAAUUGCGCCUUUUUCGGAAGGCAUGUGUGUUUGAGGGCACCAUUUAACAAAUAAUGAGCAGCGUUUUUUGUUGCACUCGUUGAUGAGCUUUCCAAGAAUUGUAAUUUUUUGGUGGCGCAUAAUGAACAGCGUUAAAGUUUUUUUCAGUUCGAGUGUAAUAAAAUCUUUUCUUGUUUUGUGAAAAAACAUAAUCUCGCAAU
rnacentral:misc_RNA from 1 species